CGUGGCCCUCAUCCCCUCACACAGAGCAUGGAAGUAGGAGGAGCGGCUGCUGGUGUCUGGUCUUCUGGGGCUGUAGUGGAUCCUGCUUUCUAACGUGGAGUCUGUGCCAGUUCUGGGUAAUCGGUUUCAGAAACACACAGCAGACUUGACUCAUGCUUCCUGUCUCCUCCAUUCACAAUACCGCUUAUCUCUCAAUGGCUUCACAGAGGCAAACAUGGUACUCGUGUCUCCCCACUCCUGACCAUCCUGCCACAUCCUGUUCUUGAGGAAAUGAUUAAAUUGGUUGAGUAGCUGAAAUGUUCAACUUUUACUUUUCUUACCUUGGCGGCAGAGGGAAGGCCCUUGAAGGUAUUUCAGGGAUGUGAGGAGACUACUGGAACACACAAUCCUGGAGAUGGUCUGGUAUUUGUCUUCAGUAAGUGGAUGUUGGGCUUUUCCUCACAUUCCUAGCCUGUAGAUCAGUCACAGCAAAAGAAUAGAGACC
rnacentral:sRNA from 1 species